CGCGAAGCGAAGGGGAUUUGAAGGGGGAAAAAAAAAACAAAACCAGAGAGAGAGAGAGAGAGAGAGAGAGAGGGGGGAUAGGUACAGCAGGCCAAUACAAUCAACUCUGAAGAAAAAAAUCAAAAUAUCUUUUUGUGUGUCUUUCUUUAUACUCUCUCUGUGUCUCUCGUUCGCUGUGUGUACUUCUCGUCCUUAUCUUGGCCGAUGGAUGGAUUCGAUUUGCUUUCUUCAAUCAUAGAGCUAUGCAAAGAGAAUGGUGCUCUCGGCAUUUUCCUGAACUCGUAAAGAUUGUCAAUGACAACCAUCUUUAUGCCAAAGUCUCAAAAUUUGUUGAGAACAAAUCAGAAUUGUUUGAAGACAAACUACUAGGCUUGAUUGAUAUAGUUGGAGGAUGAAGAUAAAGCAAAGGUUGAUCACCUUUUGGCGGGGUACAAAUUAGUUUUUGGUGGUAUAGAUUAACUUUUGGAUAUUAAUUUUGAUUAAUCCUCUGUUAUAUAUGGAAUUAUAUUUUUGAGAUUGGAUUAUACUGGGUUUGUAUGGAAUUUCUAUUGGAAAUAUUAAUUUGAUAUUAAAUAUGAAUUUUUUUGAUGAUUGAAAGUGAAA